GGUGAACGCUGGCGGUAGGCCUAACACAUGCAAGUCGAACGGCAGCACAGUAAGAGCUUGCUCUUACGGGUGGCGAGUGGCGGACGGGUGAGGAAUACAUCGGAAUCUACUUUUUCGUGGGGGAUAACGUAGGGAAACUUACGCUAGUACCGCAUACGACCUACGGGUGAAAGCAGGGGAUCUUCGGACCUUGCGCGAUUGAAUGAGCCGAUGUCGGAUUAGCUAGUUGGCGGGGUAAAGGCCCACCAAGGCGACGAUCCGUAGCUGGUCUGAGAGGAUGAUCAGCCACACUGGAACUGAGACACGGUCCAGACUCCUACGGGAGGCAGCAGUGGGGAAUAUUGGACAAUGGGCGCAAGCCUGAUCCAGCCAUACCGCGUGGGUGAAGAAGGCCUUCGGGUUGUAAAGCCCUUUUGUUGGGAAAGAAAAGCAGCAGGUUAAUACCCCGCUGUUCUGACGGUACCCAAAGAAUAAGCACCGGCUAACUUCGUG
rnacentral:rRNA from 1 species